GUGUGGUCAGGCAGCAAGAGACUCAGAUUUCACUUCUCAGCCACUCUGUUCCUGGUAGCAGGGAUGCUGGGCUGAUGGGAUGGUCAUGGCAGGAUGAGAAGACCCUCCUUAAAGUCUAGGAGAGCACCCGUGUGAACUGGCCUGAUGUAGAGAGACUCACUUAUUUGUCACUUUGCAGUAGCUGCUGUGAGACAGAGGCUGUAGGUAGAGAUGUCCCUCAGCUCUAAGAAAGCCAAGGGAAAGACAGAACACAUCUUCACAGCUGCAGACUUCAACCAAGAAGGUGCACGGGGAUUAUCCUUUUUCUGGCCACAAACAGAAAUAUGUGCUGAAAGAUCACCACUUUCAGAAGGAGACGUGUCACCAGUACCCAGGUGACCCAUGGGCUGUGUGGGGAUCCUUUCCCUCUGGAUAGAGCAUCAAAGCUGGGUGCUGACUCAUGUCUAGAUGAUACAGCAAGGUCAUGGACCUUGAAGAAUGGAAACUUCUUCCUGAAGAUGGUGAACUGGCAAGAUAGGAACCUUGAUUCCUGAUGACACUGUGAAGAUUCCAUAUCAGUUCUACCUCCUCUGAACUUCUUUUAGGUGAGAGAGAAAUAUAUUUCUAUUUUGUUUAAGUGAUAUUUAUUUUAAAUGUUCUCAGAUGUUCAGACAAAUUUAAUUCUGAUACAGAUACUUAGGCUGAUUCUAAUUUUUUGCUGCUGUAAACUAUGCUGCAGUUAGCAUACUUGUCCAAACAUCUUUGCUCAUUUGUCUGACAAUAUUUUGGAUCUACUCCUAGAAGUUGAAUUAUCAAUUAAAAUAUUUAUGGACAGUUUUUAUUGUUUUGUGAAAUAUCUUGCCUAACUUGGGGAGGCAUUCUUUAUGGGGAUGCUCUUGGGCAGUGAACAAAUUGGGUAGAAAUAUGUAGGACACUGAUAUUGGGAAAAGGUUGACAUACAGGGUAAUGUAGAUGAGAGCCAGAUGUCCCCAGGUCAAGCUAAAAUGCUUCUAUUUCCUUUAUUAAAAUGACUGAAUCAAAAUCAAAAUUAUAAAAAAAUAACCCAAUAAAAUAUUUGUGUUUCAACA
rnacentral:lncRNA from 1 species